GUUGUACUCCCUCCGUCCGAAAAUACUUGUCGGAGAAAUGGAUGUAUCUAGACAUAUUUCAGUUUUAGGUACAUCCAUUUUGAUCCAUUUCUCCGACAAGUAUUUCUGGACGGAGGGAGUACCAA
rfam:Triticum aestivum genome assembly, contig: Triticum_aestivum_CS42_TGACv1_scaffold_513997_6BS